CCUCUGUUGGUUUUUCCUUCUAUUCCUGAACUCUAAAUGCUGGCGUUUCUGACGGAUGGGUCUAGUCUUCUCUUCUCUAUCUGUGUUUUCUCCCUCGGGGACCUCAUUCAGUCCCAUGAAACGACCUACCUGCUGAUGGCCCCAAAUGCACAUCUCCAGAGUGGCCUCUCUUCUGGACUUUGGCAUCAUACAACCUACAAUCUAUGAUCAGUAGGCCUUAAUGGCUCUACCUGGACGCCUAGCAGGUAGCAUGCCAGUUCCCUGAGAAAAACGACUUUGCUUCUCUGGUUUUCUGUCUAGAAGAGUGACUGGCACAUAGUAGGCCCUCAACCAAUAUUUGCUGAACAUAAUUAAGCAGAGGGAUGUAGACUUGAACGUUCAUGGCAGGUUUAGUGUACCUGUGAGGCAUACAGCGGGGCUGCAGGGAGCAAUCAGAAGUGAGUCUGAAGACAAGUUUGAAUAAACAAAGAAAUGACAAUGUCUGAUUGUCAAAGUGCUUUUGUCUGAUUUUAAUUAUUUUUAAUUCAUUUGAAAAGCAUUGUUGGAGUAUCUACUGUAUAUGGGUCCCUGCAUCAGUCCACCUGGACACAAGUGAUCAAGGUCCUGAAGCACUCAGACUGGUUGGGAGAUAGGUGAUUUUGGGUGUUGUGAGAACCCCUGGAAAGAACAUAGAACUGCAUCUUUUUGAUGAAGUGGGGAAUAGUAAGAAGGG
rnacentral:lncRNA from 1 species